rnacentral:lncRNA from 1 species
UGGUAUCAGAGAGAACGGCAUGAGAGAGGAAACCUGAAGUCUGAAGUUAAAGUGUCUUCAGGUGUGGUUCCUUCUAUGGACCUGAAUUCCAUGGACUUAGAGAAGGAAGCAUAGAAGGAAAGACUCCAUAGCUCUCUCCCAGGUUCUGGGAGUCACUGGGGAUGUGCCCUCUUUACUGUGCUGCCAGAGAAGUCUAGAGUGUGACUAAUGGAAGUCUCACUAGUGGACAGACAGUAUAUGAGCCUCUCACAUUUGGAAAUGAUUCCAAGUGACCUUGGAUGACCAUGAGGCUGCCUUCUCAUUCUUACUAUGAAGAUGGUGCCUGGCCCGAGAGGUCUUAAACUUCCAGUGUGGAUGGCUAGUCCUCACUUCUUUAUCCAGGCAACACACAGCACGGAUGGACAGAAAACCAAACACCUUUGCCAAGAACAAUUACUGAGGGUGUGAAACGAUGAAGACAUAGAGAAUACUGCUGCAUAGAAAUGUUCACAGUUCUUCAAUUUCCAAAAGGAAUUCAGAGGGAGAACUUGGAUUAAUGUAAAUAAUGUGAUUUUUUUGAAAUACAAAUGAAUAUUGAUUGAGA